GAACAUUCUUCUGAUGGUUCUUGCAACAGCACGAGAUAAAACAAGAUUAGUUAAAUCCGCAGGCAGGAGGAGAAACUGCUGUUGGGACUCUGGUGAAAGCUGCAUUGGAGAAGAGAAUGACGGAAAGAACUGGCAGAAACUCUGGAAAAGACCUCAUCUCAUUUAACACAAGAGACAUAUCAUCUGCGCCAUCAUCUCCUUUCUCCCCAGUGCUUUCAUGUCCAGGAGCCUGCAAAACUUGAAUGAUAAAUGCAGGCUACACACACGUGUUGCAUCUUGCAAUGUCAAUAGAUCAGCUGGAUUUACACGAGAUGAAGUGCUUUAGCCCAUUUUAAUAUAAAAACCAAUGUGUCUGAGUAUUAUUUUCACACCUUGUAGUUAGUUUCGGCUCAAAGAGAACAAUUUCACAUAUAAAUCAUUGCGCACAUCACUUAAUGUGAUUACCGAAUCUAAUUAGCACGUCGCAAAUAUAAGCUCCAGACUUUAUCUUUUCA